rnacentral:rRNA from 1 species
UACGUAGGGGCAAGCGUUAUCCGGAUUUACUGGGUGUAAAGGGAGCGCAGACGGAACUGCAAGUCUGAUGUGAAAGCCCGGGGCUCAACCGCAGGACUGCAUCGGAUACUGUAGAUCUGGAGUGCCGGAGGGGCAAGCGGAAUUCCUGGUGUAGCGGUGAAAUGCGUAGAUAUCAGGAGGAACACCGGCGGCGAAGGCGGCUUGCUGGACGGCAACUGACGUUGAGGCUCGAAAGCGUGGGGAGCAAACAGGAUUAGAUA